UUCAAUGUAAAAUUUCAGUGAGAAAGGUUGUGAAAAAUUUUUUGUGAAAUGAAAGUAACCUUGCAUGUAGUCAGUACAACCGGCUGGUCUGUACUGCAAAGCCACGUUAUCGACAUCAAACAUGUUGAUUUGCCAGUGUUUGAAGAAAUUUUAGAAUCCAUUCAUUGUCUGUAUCCAACGUUGCAAGAAGACCAUUACGAGUUAUUUUGGCCGUAUUCCAGAAAAGACUAUUUACAUAUCUACAACAAUAAAAUGUACGCCACAACAUUGAAACUUAUGGUGUUACCAAUUAUUAUCAUGCUCCUUUUGGAUGCAGAAGACCAUCACGAUUGUGUCGAUGGUUACAGAAUUAUUAGGAUGUUCGACUAUUUGGACGAAAGGGAAAAUGCGAAGAAACUGUUGCUCUCGUAUUAUCUCAGGAUACCUGAAAGAGACAACACCAGUGAAACUAACAUAGCGGCGUUCCGACAACAACUCGAUAACACAACGAUAUGCUGCAAUAAAAAGAAUAUUUUUGAAUAUGCUAUAAAAGAUCUAACACAAAUUAAAUGUUACACUAUGGAUAAAUUUUUUGAAUGCAACAAUCGAUUAAUCGCCACAAGAGGAAGGAUCUGUAGUUAAUGUCUUUAGAGGGGCUUAGAAAACCGACCAGAAUUGUCAACAUAAAUAGUGUACAAGGACCGUUUUAGAACAGCAGUUGAAAUUAAGAAGGAACUAUGGCAUGUUAACAUUUCUGUACAUACAAUUCAUCGUCCUCUGAGAGAAGACAACUUACUUGGUUGAAAACCUCCGAUGGAAAUCGUCCAUUUCCGUGAAAAACCAUUACCAAGUAUUGGAAAUGUUUGGAUGUGCUUUUCUGGGACACACUUGGCAUCACAAUUGAUAGUGAUUUCAAGCAUAUGAAAAAAGUAGUGAAAAAAUGUUUCCAAGACUAAAAUGGUCAGUGCCUCCCAACCCCACUGAGAACCUUUGGGAGAUGGUGGAUAAGGAAAUUCGAUAAACCCAUAUAGAAAUAUUUAAAAUUACCAUAAUUCAAUUCCAAAACAGUAUAUAAACAUCCUCAUUUGCUCUAGGGAAAAUAGAGGCAUAGAAGAACAUUAUUAAGCAAAAAUUAUGAAAAUGAAUUUGUUUCUUUAGUGUUGCUCCAUCCUUUUGUAUG